GAUGAACGCUGGCGGCGUGCCUAAUACAUGCAAGUCGAGCGAACGGACGAGAAGCUUGCUUCUCUGAUGUUAGCGGCGGACGGGUGAGUAACACGUGGAUAACCUACCUAUAAGACUGGGAUAACUUCGGGAAACCGGAGCUAAUACCGGAUAAUAUUUUGAACCGCAUGGUUCAAAAGUGAAAGACGGUCUUGCUGUCACUUAUAGAUGGAUCCGCGCUGCAUUAGCUAGUUGGUAAGGUAACGGCUUACCAAGGCAACGAUGCAUAGCCGACCUGAGAGGGUGAUCGGCCACACUGGAACUGAGACACGGUCCAGACUCCUACGGGAGGCAGCAGUAGGGAAUCUUCCGCAAUGGGCGAAAGCCUGACGGAGCAACGCCGCGUGAGUGAUGAAGGUCUUCGGAUCGUAAAACUCUGUUAUUAGGGAAGAACACAUGUGUAAGUAACUGUGCACAUCUUGACGGUACCUAAUCAGAAAGCCACGGCUAACUACGUGCCAGCAGCCGCGGUAAUACAUAGGUGGCAAGCGUUAUCCGGAAUUAUUGGGCGUAAAGCGCGCGUAGGCGGUUUUUUAAGUCUGAUGUGAAAGCCCACGGCUCAACCGUGGAGGGUCAUUGGAAACUGGAAAACUUGAGUGCAGAAGAGGAAAGUGGAAUUCCAUGUGUAGCGGUGAAAUGCGCAGAGAUAUGGAGGAACACCAGUGGCGAAGGCGACUUUCUGGUCUGUAACUGACGCUGAUGUGCGAAAGCGUGGGGAUCAAACAGGAUUAGAUACCCUGGUAGUCCACGCCGUAAACGAUGAGUGCUAAGUGUUAGGGGGUUUCCGCCCCUUAGUGCUGCAGCUAACGCAUUAAGCACUCCGCCUGGGGAGUACGACCGCAAGGUUGAAACUCAAAGGAAUUGACGGGGACCCGCACAAGCGGUGGAGCAUGUGGUUUAAUUCGAAGCAACGCGAAGAACCUUACCAAAUCUUGACAUCCUUUGACAACUCUAGAGAUAGAGCCUUCCCCUUCGGGGGACAAAGUGACAGGUGGUGCAUGGUUGUCGUCAGCUCGUGUCGUGAGAUGUUGGGUUAAGUCCCGCAACGAGCGCAACCCUUAAGCUUAGUUGCCAUCAUUAAGUUGGGCACUCUAAGUUGACUGCCGGUGACAAACCGGAGGAAGGUGGGGAUGACGUCAAAUCAUCAUGCCCCUUAUGAUUUGGGCUACACACGUGCUACAAUGGACAAUACAAAGGGCAGCGAAACCGCGAGGUCAAGCAAAUCCCAUAAAGUUGUUCUCAGUUCGGAUUGUAGUCUGCAACUCGACUACAUGAAGCUGGAAUCGCUAGUAAUCGUAGAUCAGCAUGCUACGGUGAAUACGUUCCCGGGUCU
rnacentral:rRNA from 1 species